ACCUCGGUAUAUUGGACCUUUUGAGGUUACUAAUAGAGUUGGAGCAGUUGCCUACCGAUUGGAGCUACCACCCAACCUUUCUCACGUUCAUCCCGUGUUUCACAUCUCCAUGCUCAGGAAAUACAUUCCAGAUCCUUCUCAUGUACUACAACCAGAUGUAAUAGAGCUAAAAGAGAACUUGACAUUUGAGGAGCAACCUGUAGCCAUAGUGGACUACCAAGUGAGACAGCUAAGAUCAAAACAGAUCCCUAUGGUUAAGGUUUUGUGGAGGAGCCAGUCAGUGGAAGAGUGCACCUGGGAGUCAGAACGGGACAUGCGUAGCAAGUACCCUUAUCUGUUCAAUGUGUAAUCAUGUACUUUAUUCUGCCUUGUGUAAAAUUCGAGGACGAAUUUUCUGUAAGGGGGGAAGAAUGUAACACCCCUGAUUUUUUAUAUAUUAUUAUUGGGCUUCGUGUAGGUAUCCUCAAUUCGCGGAAAUUCGACAGUUGUCCGGAUCUGUGAAUUUCCGGCCAGACAGACCAGUUACCGGAAAAGUCUCCGAAUUGGACCGAGGUUUUGGCUAGCCCCCCAUUGUCAGACGUCCCGAGCGCGUUCCCGAAGUCGGAAUCGGCAAAGGUGAGCCGGGACAGCCUUCUUCCUCCACCCAGCCGCCUCAGUGACCAUCGUCAAGUCUGCCACAGGAGGAUAUUUCUUUGAGGUUAACCUGCUUUCUCCCUCGCAGGUCAAUUAUUAAUGUUUGUGUAAACUGGUUAAAUCUUAGAAUUUCCGCAUGUGUUAGAAAUGUUUAUUUGAUUUGGGUCUGUAAAUUAAAUUAUUAUUUUGGGACCUGUAAACUUAAUAUGCUAUGCAUGUUUGAUGGAUUGGAUGAGGGAGCUGAGCUCCCAUUUAUUUUUAUGUUGAUGAGUAUGUGGAGGGUGAGCUGAGCUCCCCAAAUGACUAUAUAUUGUGUUUACAGGU